rnacentral:rRNA from 1 species
CCUACGGGUGGCAGCAGUGAGGAAUAUUGGUCAAUGGACGCAAGUCUGAACCAGCCAUGCCGCGUGCAGGAAGACGGCUCUAUGAGUUGUAAACUGCUUUUGUACGAGGGUAAACGCAGAUACGCGUACCUGUCUGCAAGUACCGUACGAAUAAGGAUCGGCUAACUCCGUGCCAGCAGCCGCGGUAAUACGGAGGAUUCAAGCGUUAUCCGGAUUUAUUGGGUUUAAAGGGUGCGUAGGCGGUCGGAUAAGUUAGAGGUGAAAUCCCGCGGCUCAACGUCGGAAUUGCCUCUGAUACUGUGAGGCUGGAGAGUAGUAGCGGUAGGCGGAAUGUAUGGUGUAGCGGUGAAAUGCUUAGAGAUCA